UGCACAUGUGUAGUCUGCCGGAAUUUUUCGUGCCGUGCGGUAAAAGUUGUUAAUUCGCCGUAAAUAUCUCUUGAUUUGUACUCAAGAGUGGAGCAAGACCCCAAGAAAGAGAGAUUGACGCAUUGGGAGCGAAGGACAGAAACGAUGGGUGGUUACGCUGUUUGGGUCUCGGGACGUUCGAAUUGGCAAAGUUCCGAAUUUGUCGCUCUGUGGUGUACGCUUGUGCGCUCGUCAUUUGCCGUUAUCGCGCGGAGAUAUUUGCGCUGGAUGUCUUUUGCUUCGUGUACAAAACUCGGCACGCUGCGGCAUCGAAGGAGUUGUCCUGUGUUUGGGUGCACGUAUGUGCUUGGACACGGAUAGCCUGCUUGCUCUCAACGGGUGUUCAGCAGUCUACGCGCACUCGUAACUUGCUUAUGAGGCAUGUUGCUGUUCUGCUCGAGCUGAGAAGAGGUCUGCUGCCUGCAGUGGGUCCAUCUCUCUCAAGUUAUCGCAGUAUUGUAGCUCUCACAGUUCAAAAAAGUAUGGCGGAAGCUGUUGCCAAGGUUCCGACCGGAAAAGAAAGCCAGUAUAAAAGAGUCCACACCACUGUUCUCUACUACAGGGGAUGGACAGCACAUCGAGCGCCCUCGACUGAAGCCAACCUUGUCCGGGAAGUUGGUGCUUCACAACUUUGCAGCAGCACUUUUUUUGCACGGCCUGUGGAGACAAGGUUUUUCAGACAUGGCCAUGGCCUUCAAGGAAGAUGCCGAGGCCACAGGCAGUUCCUCCAGUGACCGUGAAAAGGCCCCCUGGGGCACAAGUCUAAUUUGGCACCCCUACCUUUCUCCUGCAGCCUUUCCGUCUACUUAGCUAACCAAGUGGGUCAACGGUUGCAAAGAGAAAAAAGAAUCAACAGCUUCAAACGUAGAACUUGCUCAAGCUCAAUGCAUUUUUGGUGUGAAGUUUUUCCCUUAUCAUUUAUCAAAAACGGGUAAUAAGUAUAUGAUAUGGUCUUCAUACGGGCACCUCUUUCCCAUAGAGAAUUAUCAGUAAAAAAAGCAGCUUAUGAAGGCUUGCAUAUUAGUUAGGAUGAUGUGGCAUAGAUAGGAUAAUGAUUGUGAAUGUUUCUGGUGGAGGUAGUGGUAGUAGAGUGAAUAAUCAGUUUAUAUGUAGAUUAAAAGGCAGUUCGUUCUAAUGCGAGAAUUUUAAAUCAUCCCAAAUAAUUCUUGCAUUUGAUAGUCUAUGCACAUUGAGCGGCAGUGCUUCUUGAUGCUUGUUUCUUGCUGACAUCAUUCUUAUGCUGCAUAAUUCACCUGUUUAAAUUCCCUAUUUCUCCCGUUCAAGCAACUUUACAUUCAUCAUAACAAACCUUGUAGAUGAGCUCCAGAAACUUGCUGAUGAGAUUAGAGGGUGGCGUGCAUCCCAGGCUUAGAUAUGGAUUCAAGAGCCUCAUACCUUGCAAAUGUAAGAAAUACUCCUGCUAAGCAAGUUCUUGGUAUCAUACAAGGUUAUUUGCGAAUACGAAUUUGCCUAAAUUGGGAAAACAGUCAAUCGAUAACAUGUGAAGCGUUAUCGCUGACAAUACAAACACAUUCCAACUGAAGUUAAUACAAAUAAAUAUAGCACCAAAUGAAGAAUCACUGGCAUGAUGCCAUUCUUUCAGUGGAAUAAAGUUGUCCUGCGUUGUAAAUCUGGAAUCCUUUAUAAUCCAGGCUACUAAAUACCUCAUGAGGGUUGUGACGUGAAAUACCCAUGUAUUUAUUCCUCGUUUUUUUUACUUUAAGACCCGAUAAUGCAUAAAGAGCAGUGAAAGAACUGAGAUCACAGUACUUAAUACUCUAUAUUGCUCCAAACAUCCGUUUCUCUGCCGAUCACAGCAUUUAAUAGUAACAAUUUUGUGGCAAAAAAUGUGAGACAGAAGGCACAUAACACUUGGAGUGGUGCUUUUCACUUUGAUUGUUUGGGAACAAAAUCCAUAGUGUAGAUGUUAUGGCCCUACGUGUCGUUACCUUUGAACAACAAAAAGCUAGGGGGUUUGCGUUUUGCAAAACUGCAUGCAGGUUUUUACUGUGUGCAAUUAAAAUUAGAAAACUUCACAGCUGAUACUAAAUGCAUUCUCCACAGCUUUAGGUUAUACAGGUGCACUACUUUACACCGAACCCACUCUUUAACCUCGUCACUGCCCACACUCUUAGGCAAAGUUACACCCUUUAGAGGGCCCCUUCUGCCACACAGCGAUAAUUGUCAUCUGCCUUGAUGCGUUUCCUUUCUUUAACGCUGUGAGCCCUGUACUUUCCAGUAACGAACGGCAUGCGCGUUAUCAGCAUGAUAGCAUUCCCGACAGGAAAGUAGCGGAUGUGGCGUUUUCAUGAAAGGAAACACAUCAAGGCAGAUAAUGAUUAUUGUUGUGUGGCAGAAGGGGCACUCCAAAGGGUGUAACUUUGCCUAAGAGUGCAGGUGGUGAUCCAGACUCUUCAAAGGUGGUUCAUUGUAUGGGAUGGCACAUCGCGCUUCACUUAUUUGCAGAAUAUUGCAUUCCAAUUGUGUCAUAUGAGAUAGAUCCAUUAUAGAGCUUUAAAUUGCCCUAAAUUUAUUACAACUGUGUACUGGUAAACUGGCAGCAGCUUCCAGUGGUUGUGGCAAAACAAUUGUAACUGCCACAUUAUAUGUAACUGCUAGUGCACAGGCAUCGGCAGCAGCAAUGGUUAGGGUACUCUUGUUUCUUCUAUUCUGGGGUAUGCAUCCUCCUCCAGAGAAUAGUUUUUUUCGUCUUCCUCUUCUACCACAUUCGAACGUGAAAUGGGGCGUAAUUUGUAGGGAAUACUCUUGCAUAAACUUCAUGAGCAUUUCUUCUUGUCUGUGCCACAGCUCAUUGUUCCUACGACUGUAAAAGCAGUGUGCCUGUUUACAGCACCCGUAGGGAACAAUCUGAAUCUUUAACGAACAGUAAGGAUAAUGAGCAAUCGAAUAAUUUUUAGCAAUCUUCAACAAAUUUAGCACUCUGCUUUACACUGUGGUGUUUUUGAAACCCUAAUGUUUGCACAAGGUUUGACUGCAGGAUGUCAUUUUGUGUGAAAGAGUGCACUUGUGCGCAUAACACCUCAUCGACAACAUUCCGCUGCACAGGAUGUCAUUAGCUUUCGUAUGCAUUGGUCAUUAUCUCACAAACGGGCUGCUCCUUUGUUAGCUGGAAUGUAGCAAUAAUGUAAAGCACAUUUGAUGUCAUAACAAAAAGAAUUGUGCCCUCUUAUCCGCUGAUUCUCCUCACUUCAUGUCUAGUGUUUUAAUAGCAUGGUUGACACCAUGAGAGUCAGUGUGGUGUAUAAUUAUGUCUAUGGUAGGGUGGGGGUGUACAAUAACUUAAGCAACUUUUCCAGACGACUUGAAUGAGUAUUCUGGAAUGCUGUUUUUUUUCACUCACUGUUGCCAAGUUUCAUCUUGGUUGUGGCAACAGGUAUAAUGUAGUUCUCUAGCGCUCCUGCCAACACACAUAAUGUGCAGGCAUCUGUGUUGAAAGAAAGACCAGCUAAUGGUUUGCCAGGAGCUAAGGUCCAUUUAGAACAUAAAACUUUGGGCUUACACCAGUGGAAAUAACUGGUGAUGAAAGCACACCCAGGAAAACUGCCCAUAUUUUCCUUCAUUGUCAUAAUGCUUAAGCUUUGAACCGCAUGUGAACUGACUUGUUUAAAAAAUGACCCAUUUCCUUGUUCAAGUAAGACAAAGAUUCCACAGGAAGACAGAAACUUGAAGCCGUCAACAGCAGCAUGAAUAUAAACAGCGCUCGGCGUUUUGCAAUCUUCCACCUGGUUAUAUUGUCCAUCACAUUUUUUCUACAGGCUGUUCUUUACUGUUUUAUAGUCAUGCCCAGUUUAAUUUUAAUGUCCCUAUUUUUAUUUUUUGGUUAAUAUAUCUUUUCUUCAUCGGCUUUCAACAAAAUAUAUAUUCAUAAUGUGCCUUCAUUUACAAUAUACAGUGAUCUUAACCAGAUGCAUCUUGAUACAAAAUUUAUUUUCCUUAAUUCUUCGUUUCGCUUUUCCAAAAGUGCAAGCUGUUUAUCUUGAUACCUAUUUUCUCUUCUGGGAAGAUUAGGUCUACUGGAUUAUUGACUGCUUACAUGUGUACAUCGUUUUCUAUUAUGGUCACCCCUACUCGCAGCAAGUACUGACAACAGUGCUCAUGCCCACUCCAUCACAAUCGCCACUGCUAAGCACACCCUUCCUUCCUUUAUUUUAACACUUUGGCUUCUCUUGACCUAUUAUAUACACCAAUUUCUUCUCCCCCAAUGAGGCUAGGGGCCAGUGAGCUAUGCACAAUCCAAAACAACACAGCCAAGGAAAACAUUUGCUACCCAAAUGACAAGCACGUAUAUCGAAAUGUUGGCUACAGCAGCAUCGCUUGUUCAAACAAUGUUGGUCUACUUACAUGUUUUUCUAACGCUGAAGUUACUGCUUUGUCGUGUUCUGUGAUUAUACUUUUUUGCCGCUUUCUUUAGGAUGGAUAUUCACGAAUACUAUUUGUUUCUUUUAACAGCAGCAAGCUUAUCCUUGCAAGCAUAUGGGGUCAAGAACAACUUUCACCAUGGAGAAGUGCAAGACGACUGAUUGAACAAAAUAAAGUUGCUUCUGUGAUCUAAGAACUUGAGGACUGAAAUGUUGCACAUUUUUUUAUAUAUGCUAUGCAGUGCAUUCAUAUCACAAAGUGCAAAAUCUUUUAUCUCUGCAGCCAUGUCAGUGUGUUGACAAGACAAUUUUCUCAAUGGUGACCUGCUGCUUUGGCUAUGAGCAUCCAAGGAAAACACUUGCUACCCUAAUGACAAGCACGUAUGUCCAAAUGUUGGCUACAGCAGCAUCCCUUGUUCCAACAAUGUUGGUCUACUUACAUGUUUUUCUAACGCUGAAGUUACUGCUUUGUCGUGUUCUGUGAUUAUACU